GUUAUUUCAUAUCAUUUUCGCGCCAAAAUUUUAACUCAUAUUUCUGGUUAUCAAAUUUUGCUAAAAAUAUAAGUGCUGGAAAUUGAGCAUAAUGCCUUUUAACUAUAAAUAAUAUCUAUAAAUUGAAGCCUUCACAAAAUAUUUUCAUUCAAUCUUCUUGAUCAAUGAUAUGACUCUUAUCCCGAAGGUUAUAUAUCUGAGGCUGAUAUAGAGAGCUUAGACGAAGAAGAUAAUUAUUAUCCUUUGCUGGGAGAUGAUUUGCCCACAUCAUCUUCUAUUACGAAUGAACUAGGUCUUCAAUUGGAGGAUAUAGUAGAAGAUACAAUUAUAACUAAAAUAAAAGAUAACCCGAUUUGGUCUAAGAAUGACAUCGGACAAAUUAAUAUAGAAUUUAUCCCUAUUUUGGAAAUUCCUGAACAUGAUUCAAUAACAUAUUUUCGUAAAUUUUUGGACCACCAGAUAAUUAGUAAUUACGUAUCGGAAACAAAUAUUUAUUCAUUCCAAUGUUGUGGUAAAUAUAUAAAUACAGAUAGCGAUGAAAUUGAAAGAUUUAUUGGGAUACAUUUAUAUACUAGCUUAGUUAAGAUGCCUUCUAUAAGACAAUAUUGGUCUGUUGAAACAUCUAUUCCACAAGUAGCGGAAACUAUGUCCCGAAAUCGUUUCCUUUUGAUCCGGAAAUUUUUCCAUAUUAAUAACUAAGAUAGGGAAGAUGAGGGAUACAAUAUUAUUCAAAAUUCAACCCUUCAUAUGCCAACUAAGAAAAAAUUCAAAAAUUCAACUCGAAGAGAAGUUAGCUGUAGAAGAAUUCAUAAUUCCUUUCAAGGGCGCUCUAAAUUAUGGCAAUACAUUAUAUCGAAGCCCCAUAAAUGGAGGAUAAAAGUGUUUGCCCUAUGUGGCUCUUCUGGAUUUAUGUAUGAUUUUGAAAUAUACAAGGGAAAGUCUACUAAUACUAUAAAAUCAUAUUUAGGUAUCAGUGGAGAUAUCGUACUUCGCCUGUCUGAAAUAAUACCAUCAAAUAAAAACCAUAAAUUAUAGGAUAAUUUUUUCUCCUCAUACCAAUUAUUUAUGAUUCUUAAAAAAAGGGAUAUUUGGUGUCCGGAACGGUAAGGUCUAAUCGAUUAUCAGGAUGCGCACUUAAAAACGAUAAGGCUUUAAAAAAGGAAGGAAGAGGCGCUGUAGAUUAUAAAAGUAAAAAAAACGAUAUUAUCUGCAAAUGGCAGGACAACAAAACUGUUAUUACAAUAUCUAAUUUUAUAGGUGUUUUACCUACGACCAAAAUUAAACGAUGGUCUGUAUCGGACAAAACCUUUAUAAAUGUAGAAAUGCCCGCUAUAAUAAAAAACUAUAAUGAGGGAAUGGGUGGAGUAGAUCUUCACGAUAUGCUGGUGGAGUUAUAGGACAGAUAUUAAAUGGAAAAUAUAUUAUAUGCGAAUGGUUUUCCAUUUAUUGGAUUCUUGUGAAAUAAAUGCAUGGCUCCAGACGCCAUAUGAAAGCAAAUAAUAUCAAAUUUAUGACAUUAUUGGUAUUUAAAUCUCAAAUAGCAAAAGGGCUGAUGCUAGCAGGAAAAGUUAAUAACAAGAAGACUGGAAGACCUUCCAGUAUAGUUGUAAAGAGAAGAAAAGCCAUAAAUAUUGUCACCAUAUCGGAUAUAAGAUAUGACCAAGUAGGUCAUUUCCCAAAGCCCGUAACAAUUAAACAAAGGUGCAAGUAUUGCGUAGAUGCAUAUUCAAGAAUUAUGUGUCAAAAGUGUAAUAUUUAUUUAUGUAUAA